rnacentral:rRNA from 1 species
UACAGAGGUGGCAAGCGUUGUUCGGAAUUACUGGGCGUAAAGGGCGCGUAGGCGGCCGCCUAAGUCAGACGUGAAAUCCCCAAGCUUAACUUGGGAACUGCGUCUGAUACUGGGUGGCUUGAGUUCGGGAGAGGAAUGUGGAAUUCCAGGUGUAGCGGUGAAAUGCGUAGAUAUCUGGAGGAACACCGGUGGCGAAGGCGACAUCCUGGACCGGUAUUGACGCUGAGGCGCGAAAGCCAGGGGAGCAAACGGG